rnacentral:rRNA from 1 species
UACGUAGGGUGCGAGCGUUGUCCGGAAUUAUUGGGCGUAAAGAGCUCGUAGGCGGUCUGUCGCGUCGAAUGUGAAAACCCGGGGCUCAACUCCGGGCUUGCAUUCGAUACGGGCAGACUAGAGUUCGGUAGGGGAGACUGGAAUUCCUGGUGUAGCGGUGAAAUGCGCAGAGAUCGGGAGGAACACCCGUAGCGAAGGCGGCACUCUGGGCCGAUACUGACGCUGAGGAGCGAAAGCGUGGGGAGCAAACAGG